rnacentral:lncRNA from 1 species
UGAUUGAGCCUAUAACACCCCUUAAUUCAAGCAUUAAUUUUUUUUCACCUCAGAACUAUUCCCUAUCAAUCUAAUGCAAACUGUCAACUUAAUCUGACCUUUACUAUUACAGACCUUGUGUCAACUCUUUGGCUCUGCUUUCUAAGCACCUAAGGAAUAAGCUUGUCUCAUCCACCAACCUCUGCUGAGAUACCUGUUUAGCCCUUGAUCUCCAUUUGUUCUUUGCAGCGAAACAACCAGAACAAGAAACUGAAAAACAAAACUGCUGCAUGGUUUAGAACCCAGCAGACUUUUAAGUCAUCCUAAAAUUGGCUCCCUCUUGCUGCUUUUCAUUUUUCUUGCCCUUGCGUAUUCAGUUACUUUACCUGGAAUAAUCAGUGGUCCCCUCACCCUUUAACCUUCAGGUGUGAUAUAAAUGUCAAAGAACUGGCCUUUCUCUGCUGGGACAGUGAGAAUGUUUGUGUCAAAGUCUGCUGCAAAAGAAAAAAUUGUAUUUUGGCAUGGAAUCCAGAGAACAGUAGACCACAGAAAUAGACUGGGUGGUCAAGUCCUGUGUCCCUGUCAAAUAUCUGUUCUCAGAUGUCCCCAGCUCCACUGGUGACCAGAGUAGGAACAGAUAAACUCUUGCUGCCUCCCAGCAGAACCGUAGUCUGCUUUGGCGGCUCUUGUUUUGAAGAUUUGCAGUAGAGUAGAAGAAACUGGGAAGAGUUGAAGUGGAUAGCUGAGGAGGCCCAUCCCACAUCUCAGCCUAGUUUUAGUCCACUAUCCAUUUACCCCACCCCUUGGUGAAAGCAGAUCUCCAAGGAGAAUAAUGUAGAUGUGUCUUCAGCCACUGCUGAGUAGGAUGAUAAAUUUCAGUUUUGUGAGCUUCAAUCUUAAGAGAAUUGCAGUAAUAGAAAUUAAGAGCAAUUCAAAAUUAGGUUUAGGAUCUAAAAUGUUCUGGAUAAAAGAUUGUCUUUGAAUCUGAAGCUUGAUUGACUGCAUGAUAACUGAGUUAGGGCUAACAGAACUAACUGAAAUGAUCUGUGUAUACCCCACUCACUAGAAAAACUAGUAAUGAAUAAAUGCUUGGAUAG